GACGAACGCUGGCGGCGUGCCUAAUACAUGCAAGUCGAACGCAGUGGGGACGGGUGAGUAACACGUGGGUAACCUCCCAUCAGAGGGGAUAACACUUGGAAACAGGUGCUAACCCGAUACGGAUGGAUGGACCGGCGGUGCAUUAGCUAGUUGGUGGGGUAACGGCUGACCAAGGCCACGAUGCAUAGCGGACUUGAGAGGGUGAGCGGCCAAACGGGGACUUAGACACGGCCCAGACGCCUACGUUAGGCAGCCGUAGGGAAUAUUCGGCAAUGGACGAAAGGCUGAACGAGCAAUGCCGCGUGAGUGAAGAAGGUUUUCGGAUCGUAAAACUCUGUUGUUAGAGAAGCGGUAGCUAACCAGAAAGCCACGGCUAACUACGUGCCAGCAGCCGCGGUAAUUC
rnacentral:rRNA from 1 species